CUACGGGGCGCUCCAGUGGGGAAUAUUGCACAAUGGAGGAAACUCUGAUGCAGCAACGCCGCGUGGAGGAUGACACAUUUCGGUGCGUAAACUCCUUUUAUGUGAGAAGAUAAUGACGGUAUCACAUGAAUAAGCACCGGCUAACUCCGUGCCAGCAGCCGCGGUAAUACGGAGGGUGCAAGCGUUACUCGGAAUCACUGGGCGUAAAGCGCGCGCAGGCGGCUUUUCAAGUUGGAUGUGAAAUCCUAUGGCUUAACCAUAGAACUGCACCCAAAACUGUUAAGCUAGAGUCUGGGAGGGGAAGAUGGAAUUAGUUGUGUAGGGGUAAAAUCCGUAGAGAUAACUAGGAAUACCAAAAGCGAAGGCGAUCUUCUGGAACAGUACUGACGCUGAGGCGCGAAAGCGUGGGGAGCAAACAGGAUUAGAUACCCGUGUAGUC
rnacentral:rRNA from 1 species